rnacentral:rRNA from 1 species
AGCUCCAAUAGCGUAUAUUAAAGUUGUUGCGGUUAAAAAGCUCGUAGUUGGAUUUCUGUUGAGAACAGGCGGUCCACCUUUUGGGUGAGUAUCUGCAUUGGUCUCGGCAUCUUCUUGGGUGACGUGUCUGCGCUUGGUUGCGUGGUACGGGGCUCAGGACUUUUACUUGAGGAAAUUAGAGUGUUCACGGCAGGCAUACGCCUUGAAUAUAUUAGCAUGGAAUAAUACUAUAGGAUCUUGGUUCUAUUUUGUUGGUUUCUAGAGCUAAGAUAAUGAUUAAUAGGGACAAUUGGGGGCAUUCGUAUU